AUUGAACGCUGGCGGCAUGCUUUACACAUGCAAGUCGAGCGGCAGCGCGGGGGCAACCCUGGCGGCGAGCGGCGAACGGGUGAGGAAUACUUCGGAACGUACCCGGAAGUGGGGGAUAACGCCGCGAAAGCGGCGCUAAUACCGCAUAUUCUGUGCGCAGGAAAGUGGGGGACCCGCAAGGGCCUCACGCUUUUGGAGCGGCCGAUGUCCGAUUAGCUAGUUGGUGGGGUAAAGGCCUACCAAGGCGACGAUCGGUAGCUGGUCUGAGAGGAUGAUCAGCCACACUGGGACUGAGACACGGCCCAGACUCCUACGGGAGGCAGCAGUGGGGAAUUUUGGACAAUGGGGGCAACCCUGAUCCAGCCAUGCCGCGUGCGGGAAGAAGGCCUUCGGGUUGUAAACCGCUUUUAGCCGGGAAGAAAGGGCAGGGUGAAUAACUCUGUCAUUUGACGGUACCGGCGGAAUAAGCACCGGCUAACUACGUGCCAGCAGCCGCAGUAAGAC
rnacentral:rRNA from 1 species